CUGCCACCUGCUUCUUCAGAAAUCAUCAAAGCUGAGCUACUGCCGCCUAAGCUCGAAGCUGGAUUAUCUCUCCUGAGAACAUCGUUCUAGAGAGUUACUAUGGUGAUCUCAUCCAUCUUGAUGGUGCUCUUCUCUACUAGAAGAGCAGUCAUCAAGGACUCAUAUGAAGGGAAGCGACACUAACAAGACCAAUACUCUGGCC
rnacentral:lncRNA from 1 species